GCCAGGUGUGGUGGUGCACACCUGUUGUCCCAGCUACUCAGGAGCCUGAGGCAGGAGGAUUGCUUGAGCCCAGGAGUUCAAGGUUGCAGUGAGCUAUGAUUUUGCAACUGUACUCUAGCCUGGGCAACAGAAAGAGAUCCUGUCUCUU
rnacentral:SRP_RNA from 1 species